GGAAGGGCUGCAGCUCAGUGGCAGAUCACUUGCUUUGCUUGCAGAAGGUCCUGGGUUCAACACCCAGCAGAUCUCCUCCA